rnacentral:rRNA from 1 species
GAUGAACGCUAGCGGCAGGCCUAAUACAUGCAAGUCGAACGGUGUCUUCGGACAUAGUGGCGCACGGGUGCGUAACACGUAUGCAACCUACCUUACAUUGGGGGAUAGCCUUUCGAAAGGGAGAUUAAUACCGCAUAAGACAGUAGCUGGGCAUCCAGCAGCUGUUAAAGAUUUAUCGAUGUAAGCUGGGCAUGCGUCCAAUUAGCUAGUUGGUGAGGUAACGGCUCACCAAGGCAAUGAUUGGUAGGGGAACUGAGAGGCCAAUCCCCCACACGGGCACUGAGAUACGGGCCAGACUCCUACGGGAGGCAGCAGUAGGGAAUAUUGGGCAAUGGACGCAAGUCUGACCCAGCCAUGCCGCGUGCAGGAUGAAGGCGUUAUGCGUUGUAAACUGCUUUUAUACAGGAAGAAACGACUCUUGCGAGAGGCAUUGACGGUACUGUAUGAAUAAGCACCGGCUAACUCCGUGCCAGCCGCCGCUGUAAUAC